UGCAGGGCCACCGUCGGGUCCCGACACCGGCACCGGCCGACGAAAUCCUAGCGGCGCCCCUCGACCCGGACCUGGCCAGCCACAUACGCCACUGUCCCUGUCCCUGUGACCAUAUGGGAUAUGGCAACUUCCUCGAUUACCAGAUCCCUCCAUGUCCUCGAAACGUCGCUGCGCCUCCCCUCACCAGGGAAACGACCUUCGGCGGCCCCUCCCCCCCGACGACGCAGCCGCAGUUCACCAGGUCCCCCCAGCACCAUGCGGGCGCGGUGGUCGGGAGGACGGUGCCACCCGACCUAUACUACCCCUACGACUACGACACGUGCUCGUGCAGCUCAGGUAGCGACAGUGUCAGAACCAAUCUACGGGGCCCUUGGUGCGUCUGUCUCGUGGUCUGCGUAGUGGUAGCAACCCUCACUGCCGGUUUAGGACUGCCCUUAGCCUUAGGAUCCCAUCGAAGUGAAAACCCCUCUACUGAAGACCGUCUUCAACAGGUAAGGAGAUUACUGAAAAAUUCUCCCCUGAUCGACGGUCACAACGACCUCCCCUGGAACUUGCGGAAAUUCCUCCACAACAAGCUCAACGACCUCAACCUGAGCAGAAUCAGUGAUGAAGACCCGUGGUCAACCAGCAAAUGGUCGCAUACUGACCUACCAAAGUUGGUGGAGGGAGGAUUGGGCGGCCAGUUCUGGUCCGCCUACGUGCCUUGCAAAGCGCAGCACCGCGACGCAGUGCAGAUCACGCUGGAACAGAUCGACGCGGUGGAGCGGCUGGUGGAGCGCGAGAAGGACUACAUGCGCAUGGUCAGGAGCGCGGAGGAGAUCAGGAGCGCGCAUCGCGACGGCAAGAUAGCCUCGCUCAUCGGCGUAGAAGGUGGGCAUGCGCUAGGAAAUAGCCUAGCGGUACUAAGAUCGUUCUACAACCUGGGAGCAAGGUACCUGACCAUAACCCACACCUGUGACACUUCCUGGGCUACAGGACAGGACACUGUGACCAGUGACGGACUGAGCGAUUUUGGAAAGGUUGUAGUGCGUGAAAUGAACCGCUUGGGAAUGAUAGUGGACUUAUCCCAUUCAUCGGUGUACACGGCGAGGUCGGCCAUCAACGUUUCAUCAGCACCCGUCAUCUACAGCCACUCCGCAGCGUACUCCCUCUGCAACAGUACCAGGAACGUGCCCGACGACCUGCUCAAACUGGUCGCGCAAAAUGGCGGCCUGGUCAUGGUCGAUUUCUACUCGUAUCACGUGGCCUGCAGCGUCAACGCCACCAUGGCCGACGUCAUACGCCACAUCAAUCACAUCCGGAAGAUCGCAGGAGUUGACCAUGUCGGUAUAGGAGCGGGCUACGACGGCAUCAACGUGACCCCCGUCGGCCUGGAGGACGUCUCCCGCUACCCCUAUCUCCUGGCCGAACUCCUGGGCGAUCCCGCGUGGUCGGAGCGCGACCUCAUGUCCCUCGCCGGCCUCAACUUCCUGCGCGUGUUCGAGCGGGUGGAGGAGGUGCGCGACCGGUGGCGCAGAGCGGAGAUCGCGCCGUUCGAGGACUUGGGGCCAAAGAGCGCGGUGGACGAGUGCGUCUCGAAGAACUCUUGACGAACGCUGGCGCUAGCUGUGGUCUCGGAUGAGCGCGAGGUGACGAUGAGAGUAGCGAUUUAUUUUUGAGGCUGAUACGACGGUUACAGGGUUGCUACGACGGUGUACAGCAGCUCGAUGAAUGUCACUGGAGCCCACGGAUGUCAGCAGACGUACGGAUGCCAGGCAAGUGUAGGUUUUGAAAAGGUGACAUAAAAAACCCUAAAUAAUAUUGGUUGUCUUAGAAAAGGGCCUCAAUUAUAGAACAAGGACUAGCACAACGUGUAGGAGUUAAUAAAGGUAAUAAAGAAGGACUAAUUAAAUCUGAACUUUACCUCAACGAGGGUUUAUGAUGUCCAACGGGUACCUCUACACUGAAUUCUGAACUGUUCUGUGCUCUACGGUCUGGAUCGGUCUUCUUGCUCUUGGAACUCUCGGGGACUUCUUGGGCACGUGGAAUCGGAAUAUCGGUCGGAAAAUUUUGGCUAUUUUAAUCCCAUUUCGAAAAUUGGUCGGCGGUCCAUACAAAUCAACAACAUUCAACCACGUCUCUAACCAAAUAUGUUCCGGAAGAUUUAAUCCUUCAUUACGAAGACUUGCUAAUCACCAACAGGGAAUGCUUCACGAAACGGCAGCCAGUUCUUCACGAUGAUAUCCCAGUCGGUGGAUACACAAGAAGUCACGCCAGGAUGGGAUUUCCUUCACAAAACCAGAUUUCAACCGAAAAUCUCCGUCCAGGGGAUAGAGAACUAUAUAUCUACUCUAGUCCAACUCACAAAAAGACAUAAAUAAAAAACGAUGAUCUAGAAUAUUUUCCACUGCCAUAUUCC